GCGCUUUUAAAAGAUGUUCCAGGCUACCCCUGGGAUGGGACGGCACAACUGCUGUCUACUUAAAAUCUGCUCUGGUUCCUGAUUCCAAGUCAGAUAACUAAAGGGGCAGUUUGCCCAAUCAUUUUGGAAGGAGGAAGAAAGGAAUAAACCCGUGGGCAGCACCGACUGGCUCUGCCCCAAACUGAACACGUACAGGAGACCGAGCAGAGGAUCAAGAGCACAGGCCUAGGCAUGGCCACCAACAGACUUACCUCGCCAGGUAAAGCCUGCGGACAGCCACACUGACUGGGAGCAAGUUUUCUGGGAGCAUCCAGUCCAAGCUGAUGUCUUUUGAGGCUCAUCUGAGCGAAAGGAGUGAUUUCUCUACUAUGCAUAAUAAAGAUAUGAGAAAGUCUGGUCUCAGAAAGCACCAAAAAUUCCAUCACCAGGGCACAGGUGCCUUUCUAAGAGAAAGGAGCUGAAUUCUGCCCAGAAUCCAUUAUUCUGUGACAGGUGGUAAAGACAGAGAGAAGACAAGCUAGACUUAGCUGCAGGGCAUGAAGGGAAGACGUCCCAGGUCUGCUAUUAAGAGAACACAGACAAAAUGCUGGAGGUGACGAGGCCAUCGUGUGACUGCGAGAAGGUAAACAUGAGAACAGAAGCACAUGGUACAGAUGGAUGAGUGAGCUGCCCUUCUCUGGGCUUCUUAUUGCAUAGAAACAUACAAGAAAAAGAAGACCCUGAUUUAAUUAGGUGGCUAAACCCUAAAGAUGGAGGAGAGUGAAGAGGCGGGUGAAAGUCGUAUCACUGGGGAUCGUGGAGAGGAACCGAAGCAGCCACCAGGAGAUGAACUUCAAAAAGCUGCCAGGGCUUCCCUGGUGGCGCAGUGGUUGAGAAUCUGCCUGCCAAUGCAGGGGACACGGGUUCGAGCCCUGGUCUGGGAAGAUCCCACAUGCCGCGGAGCAACUGGGCCCGUGAGCCACAACUACUGAGCCUGAGCGUCUGGAGCCUCUGCUCCGCAACAAGAGAGGCCGCGAUAGUGACAGGCCCGCGCACCGCGAUGAAGCGUGGCCCCCACUCGCCGCAACUGGAGAAAGCCCUCACACAAAAACGAAGACCCAACACAGCCAAAAAUAAACAUAAUAAAUAAAUAAUAAAUAAAAAUUAAAAAAAAAAAAA